UCCCGUUGUUCCCAUUGUUCCCAUUCCCAUUGUUCCCAUUCCCAUUCCCAUUGUUCCCAUUAUUCCCAUUGUUCCCAUUAUUCCCAUUGUUCCCAUUCCCAUUGUUCCCAUUCCCAUUCCCAUUGUUCCCAUUCCCAUUGUUCCCAUUAUUCCCAUUGUUCCCAUUCCCGUUGUCAUUCCCGUUGUUGUUCCCAUUGUCAUUCCCGUUGUCAUUCCCGUUGUCAUUUCUGUUGUUCCCAUUCUCAUUCCCGUUGUUGUUCCCGUUGUUAUUCCCAGUCCGGCUGUUGUCUCCGACACCUCUCGCUGGCCGGGAACCACCUGAGGGACAGCGACGUCCAGGAGCUGACGGGGUCAGGGACACCUGGGGACACCUGGGGACA
rnacentral:lncRNA from 1 species